UACGUAGGGACCAAGCGUUGUCCGGAAUCAUUGGGCGUAAAGCGUGCGCAGGCGGUUCUGAAAGUCAGCUGUGAAAGCCCCGGGCUUAACCUGGGAAUUGCGGUUGAAACUACAGGGCUAGAAUCUGGCAGAGGGGGGUGGAAUUCCACGUGUAGCAGUGAAAUGCGUAGAGAUGUGGAGGAACACCGAUGGCGAAGGCAGCCCCCUGGGCUGAGAUUGACGCUCAGGCACGAAAGCGUGGGGAGCAAACAGG
rnacentral:rRNA from 1 species